UAUUUAGGUUUUGGAUCAAACAAGUCGAUCGAUUGUUGUCGUUGAUUCGGCGAAUUUAUGGUUUGGUAGAUUUUUUCUAGUUUGGCAACUUUGUUCGUGGUUCUUGUGUCAGACUGACAGCUGGCUGAGCUGAGAGACAGGUUAUGGAAAGUGGGGACGUCGCGAGAGCGCCGGAGACUCCACUGCCGUAACAAUAAUGUGGGCAAAUUAAAAGCCACGAUUUAUCGGCGACAUCAAGAGCCGAUGUCUCGAUUUAAACAAAUAACUUAACCGAGAUGCAACAUCACUGAAAUCCCAUCGCCGAAGGUCCAGUGGGUGGGUUUAGGUUUCAUCCGAGCGAUGCCCAACUAUCCCGGAUGAACCUAUGGGGUUUUUUUUCUUUAAGUUUUAACGUUUUAAUGUUUUAACGUUUUUGCAAGUUUAAUUUUCUAACGUUUUGCAAGUUUUAAUCUAAGAAGAAGUUUAUGAUUGGAUCAGACUAUUUCAACAAAUUUUGUGAAUGAAGAUUGCUACUGUUUUCUUCUGCGUUUGCAAGUUAUUUCAAGCUUCAUUUCGGCGGAGCUUGCCUUGGUUGUUUGCACGUCGAAGCUUCCCUUUGUGCGGCGCGCAUGUGGAUGUGCCGCGCCUCUCCUUUUGUCAACACACCGGAUAAGGCCCGGUGAAGGACUGCGAGGUUGACCGGUGGACGUGCAGCCCGCCAGCUGCGUAACAGUUGGCCCGCUGCGCCGCCAUCGUCCAGCACGCCUGGCCUGAGCCGGCCUCAACGCAUCACCUGUAUGGUAUUCCGGAACGCCUCAGGUAGGCCUGAUAGUCGGAGGUCCUCGAGUAAGUGAGGUGCCUACAAGGAGGACGGAAAGUUUUUAUACAUCAGUGCUAUCUUAUGGUAUGUUGCAGAGAGAUGUUUUACCUAACGGCCCACUUUUCUUUUAUUGAAGUCCAUUCUAUUGGAAUAAGCUAAAAAUUUUUGUUUCAGUGGCGCCCUUCUUGGUGAAAUUGUCGCUCUGUACAACCAUUUUAGAAUAUAAGUGGUGUUGGCAUAAACUUUAAGAAUAAAUUUUGUGAAAACAGUGUAUUUUUUUUUCUAUUAUUAAAAAGUGAUGGGAUUUUGUGUGAAUUGUUUGUGUUUUGUUUGCAUCUUAGGUUAAGUUGUGUUUGUCUUAGCAUAAGUAAGGUUCUAGGCCUCCUACAGAGACCUAACUUAAAUACUUUUUUUUUGUACAAUAAGUUUUAAACCCAAAUUUAAGACCAAAGUGGUCCAGGGCUUAUUGUCAUAUUUAGUAGCUACUACAUUUGUGUUUUCAUUAUUUAUUUAACCUUUUGUUUAAUUACAGGGUUAAAACCAUAUUUAGAACAUUUUUAA